rnacentral:rRNA from 1 species
AUACGUAGGGGGCAAGCGUUAUCCGGAUUCAUUGGGCGUAAAGAGCGCGUAGGCGGAUUGUUAAGUCAGAUGUGAAAACCGGGGGCUCAACCCGCGGCCUGCAUCUGAAACUGGCAGUCUUGAGUCUGGUAGAGGAGUGUGGAAUUCCCAGUGUAGCGGUGAAAUGCGCAGAUAUUGGGAGGAACACCAGUGGCGAAGGCGGCACUCUGGGCCACGACUGACGCUGAGGCGCGAAAGCUAGGGGAGCAAACAGGAUUAGAUACCCUGGUAGUCCUAGCCGUAAACGAUGGGCACUAGGUGUGGGAGGUCAUCGACUCCUUCCGUGCCGCAGCUAACGCAUUAAGUGCCCCGCCUGGGGAGUACGGCCGCAAGGUUAAA